UACGGAGGGUGCAAGCGUUACUCGGAAUCACUGGGCGUAAAGGACGCGUAGGCGGGCUUGUAAGUCAGAUGUGAAAUCCUACAGCUUAACUGUAGAACUGCAUUUGAAACUACGAGCCUAGAGUAUGGGAGGGGGAGAUGGAAUUAGUGGUGUAGGGGUAAAAUCCGUAGAUAUCACUAGGAAUACCGAAAGCGAAGGCGAUCUCCUGGAACAUAACUGACGCUAAGGCGUGAAAGCGUGGGGAGCAAACAGG
rnacentral:rRNA from 1 species